rnacentral:rRNA from 1 species
GCCCGUCAAAUUAAGUGCCAGCCGACGCGGUUAGACUUAAGGGCUGGUCUUUAUAAGUAAAAAGGCGUAAAGGAUGUGUAGGCAAGAAAUUAUCUGAGAAGGUAAAUGGAAUUUUUCUGGAGCGGUAAAAUGUGAAGAUAGAAAAUAGAACAUCUAAGGUUAAAACUAUUUACCACAAAAUAGGCUGAAACAUGAGAGUGUGGGGAGCAAACAGGAUUAGAGACCCUGGUAGUCCACUCUGUGAACUUUGAAGAUUAUGCUUAGCAGACCCGAAAGGUAAAAUCUUCCGCCUGAGUAGUACGAUCGCAAGAUUAAAAUUCAAAAACUUUGGCUGUUCACUAUUUCGAUUAGAGGAGCGUGUAGUUUAAUUCGAUGGUCCGCGUGUUACCUUACCCCAGCUUGAAUCUAUGACCGGUAUUGCAUGGCCGUCGUAAGUCCCUGUGUUAAACUAAAAGGGACCCAAUCCGGGCGUUUGCCUGAAGGAAGUCAGGUCUUAUGAUCCG